rnacentral:rRNA from 1 species
CGAGAAGCGAGCCUGCGAAGGCAAGCGGAUCUCUUAAAGCUGUUCUCAGUUCGGACUGCAGUCUGCAACUCGACUGCACGAAGCUGGAAUCGCUAGUAAUCGCGGAUCAGCACGCCGCGGUGAAUACGUUCCCGGGCCUUGUACACACCGCCCGUCACACCAUGGGAGUUUGUAACGCCCAAAGUCGGUGGCCUAACCUUUAUGGAGGGAGCCGCCUAAGGCGGGACAGAUGACUGGGGUGAAGUCGUAACAAGGUAAC